rnacentral:rRNA from 1 species
GACGAACGCUGGCGGCGUGCUUAACACAUGCAAGUCGAACGGAAAGGCCCUGCUUUUGUGGGGUGCUCGAGUGGCGAACGGGUGAGUAACACGUGAGUAACCUGCCCUUGACUUUGGGAUAACUUCAGGAAACUGGGGCUAAUACCGGAUAGGAGCUCCUGCUGCAUGGUGGGGGUUGGAAAGUUUCGGCGGUUGGGGAUGGACUCGCGGCUUAUCAGCUUGUUGGUGGGGUAGUGGCUUACCAAGGCUUUGACGGGUAGCCGGCCUGAGAGGGUGACCGGCCACAUUGGGACUGAGAUACGGCCCAGACUCCUACGGGAGGCAGCAGUGGGGAAUAUUGCACAAUGGGCGGAAGCCUGAUGCAGCAACGCCGCGUGCGGGAUGACGGCCUUCGGGUUGUAAACCGCUUUCGCCUGUGACGAAGCGUGAGUGACGGUAAUGGGUAAAGAGGCACCGGCUAACUACGUGCCAGCAGCCGCGGUGAUACGUAGGGUGCGAGCGUUGUCCGGAUUUAUUGGGCGUAAAGGGCUCGUAGGUGGUUGAUCGCGUCGGAGGUGUAAUCUUGGGGCUUAACCCUGAGCGUGCUUUCGAUACGGGUUGACUUGAGGAAGGUAGGGGAGAAUGGAAUUCCUGGUGGAGCGGUGGAAUGCGCAGAUAUCAGGAGGAACACCAGUGGCGAAGGCGGUUCUCUGGGCCUUUCCUGACGCUGAGGAGCGAAAGCGUGGGGAGCGAACAGGCUUAGAUACCCUGGUAGUCCACGCUGUAAACGGUGGGUACUAGGUGUGGGGUCCAUUCCACGGGUUCCGUGCCGUAGCUAACGCUUUAAGUACCCCGCCUGGGGAGUACGGCCGCAAGGCUAAAACUCAAAGGAAUUGGCGGGGCCCCGCACAAGCGGCGGAGCAUGCGGAUUAAUUCGAUGCAACGCGUAGAACCUUACCUGGGUUUGACAUGGAUCGGGAGUGCUCAGAGAUGGGUGUGCCUCUUUUGGGGUCGGUUCACAGGUGGUGCAUGGCUGUCGUCAGCUCGUGUCGUGAGAUGUUGGGUUAAGUCCCGCAACGAGCGCAACCCUUGUUCACUGUUGCCAGCACGUUAUGGUGGGGACUCAGUGGAGACCGCCGGGGUCAACUCGGAGGAAGGUGGGGAUGACGUCAAGUCAUCAUGCCCCUUAUGUCCAGGGCUUCACGCAUGCUACAAUGGCUGGUACAGAGAGUGGCGAGCCUGUGAGGGUGAGCGAAUCUCGGAAAGCCGGUCUCAGUUCGGAUUGGGGUCUGCAACUCGACCUCAUGAAGUCGGAGUCGCUAGUAAUCGCAGAUCAGCAACGCUGCGGUGAAUACGUUCCCGGGGCU